UACGAAGGGGGGCUAGCGUUGUUCGGAAUUACUGGGCGUAAAGCGUGCGCAGGCGGCUUCUCAAGUCAGGGGUGAAAGCCCAGAGCUCAACUCUGGAAUUGCCUUUGAGACUGAGUGGCUUGAGUACGAGAGAGGUGAGUGGAAUUCCCAGUGUAGAGGUGAAAUUCGUAGAUAUUGGGAAGAACACCGGUGGCGAAGGCGGCUCACUGGCUCGUAACUGACGCUCAUGCACGACAGCGUGGGGAUCAAACAGG
rnacentral:rRNA from 1 species